CUGUAACAGAAAUAUAGGCCUACGCUAUGGGUUCGAAUUUGUCAUUGUAGCCGUACUCGCCUGUGUUGUCAUUUUGGUACCCGGUUGUUGGGGGAGUUAAGACAUGAGCAUCUUUGCGUGACUUUGUUUGUUACAUCUUUACGUGACUUUUUGGUUUUAAAUACAGCAUCAUUCACCGCAAUAUCUAACAACCAAGGCACUUAACGUGCCGGUAAAGCCGUGUCGUUAAGAUGGUAGCUUAUUUUGUUUAGCUAAACAUUGCCUUUUGCCAGCUCACUUUGCGCAAGCAGGGAAUAUUUCAUAAAAUUGAGUGCUAAAUGUGCUACAUUUUGUGUGAAGUGGAGGACCUCUAUACAUAUUGCAUACCAGUAACGUUACAGCAGUUGCUACCAUCCGUUUGGAUCACUCGUCAACUACUGGAUAGUGAUGAAGAUGUAAUGGAGAUUACGCAGGAGGAGCUUCAGAAAUGGAUCAGAAAGGGGGUGAAAAAGAGCAAGAUGGUGUUUCUAUCAGCAGAGAAAAGGUCAGUGGCAGACCGAGAGGUCGUCGUGCAGCAUCUCUAGGGCCUGCUGGGCUGGGACUACAGAGAUGAGGAUUCAGAAGUUGAGGAGGAGCUGCAGCACAAGCUCUCUGUCAUGGGAUCGCACUCCAUGGGGGAGAAGUGUGGAUCCAGGCAUGGGACUGAUGCUGAGGGAGAUCCAGAACGGGACGAAAAGCCCAAACUGAAGCGUAAACUGGUCCAGUUGGAGGCCACAUCCCCUCACCUGGAGACCGGUUGCUUUCCUCCGCAGUCAAAACGCGCGACUACCAGAAGGUACCACGUCAAACAGUGCAACAAGCUGUGGAGCGUUGAACCCUCCUCUUUGUCCGCCCCAAGGAGACGCCCGGUGGUGGUGCUGAAGAUACUCUCUGAGCAAGAAAUACGCACUGCCCUUUGUCCCGUUGUGACGAUGUCGACAACGACGAUGAUCAUGUACAUGUUGUCGGUGACGUCUACCUGGAUAACGAUGGCGAUGAUGUCAUCGACAGACAGGGGCUUGGCAACUGGCUGGGGUUCUUCGACCGAGGAUUCCUGGAAAGGGAAGGCCAGCGCCUGUGCUAGGGACACUGGAUCCCUUUUGAGGAUAAGUGCAAAAGACAACAAGGCAAAGAUUAAAUCAAAAUCUGUCACAGUGGAAAGGCAAAAUGGAGAACAAUCAGAUGCUCCUCACAAUGGCAAGGCCACUGUACACCAUGGUAAAAAUAUUCAAAAGCCACUCACGCACAUGUACUGUCAACAAAGAAAAGAAGCAGUCCACGACUGCCACGAUGCUCCGACAUCAGCCGAGCCUCAGAGCUGUGAAAUCGCUGUCUCCUCCGUCUCCAAGCCCUGCACUCCCAUCGCCUCCCCAAUGUCCCUAGCCCAUGAUUUUGAUGAAGUGAUUUUCUUUUUUUCCAUCUUAGUGUGGACCGUGUGGGGUGGAGGGCUUCAAGAACAAGGUGAGCCUUGAGAACAGGGGGCGCGUCCUGGUGUCUGGACACCACCUUGCCUGUGAGGACACUGCUCCGCUGUGCAGUCUCCAUGUGCGGGUCCGGGUGGUGACUAGCUAGCGGAAAGACAACAAACCUUUCUUCUACUCUGGCAUCCUGGGAGAGCUUCCCUCCAGAAGGAACCGCAUGAGUGGUGGAACCCUGGGGCGGACAUCCCAGGAGACGCCCACCGGAGAUUCAUCAGGGAGUACCUGAAGGUGUGGCCGCACCCUCCUAUGGCCAACUACUGAGUGGAUGAGCAGCUCAACGUGGAGUGCAGAGAGCCUGCGAGGUGCUCCGUGCAGACUGCAGCCUGAUGCAUGUCCUCUUCAAGCAUAGCGGACUCAAGGAGGGGAUUUAUCGAGGUUCCAUGCGUCUGGAGCACUCGGUCAACACGAAUAAGGUUCUGAAGAACACGGACAGGGCGGGAGAGACGAAGGCGGCUGAACCCAGCAGCGUAUCCCACGAAAAUCCGCAGGAAGCAUGUCCCGGGUCUCGCUCCACUCCGACCACUCCACCCACUCCACCGGCCGCCAUGGGUGAACUACACUCCGCACCUCUGCAGCCCCGCCUGCCUGGAACUAGUCUGGCGCGACAGGCCUCUGGAAGCGUUGCGUAAGCGCAACCCGCUGCUCGCCCCCAUGAUGUACAAGUUCAGACGGACCAAGAGGCAGCUCACCCCUGACACCAUGGCCUCGGUAUUGAGUCUGGACGGCUCGUUAACAGGGUGUCCCCGUGGAGACGAAGCCCACCUACAGCGUAUACUGCUACGCCCCCUGCGGCCUGCCCCUGACCGCCAUCGCCCAGGUGGAGCAGUACCUGCAUGACACGCGCUGCGACUUCCUGUCCAUUGACGCUUUCAACCUGGACCCGCACCUGUCUGUCACCGGUGCCAAACCCCUCCCCUUCAAGGUGUUCCUUCCCGACCUGUCCGGUGGCAGGGAGAACAAGGCGUUGCCCUGCAUCAACGAGCACAACGGCCAGCUUCCCCCCCAAGAUGAGCUACCGGAGCGGCCGCGACACCAGCCACGUCCGUCUCGACCCCGGCCCCGGCGUUGUGACGGGCUAAGUCGACGGUUGUAGGGACAGAGAGUCCUGCUCCUGUCGCCAGCUGACUAUCCAGAGCACCGGUGGGAGAGCCAUGGAGGAGAACUCCAGCUACGCUCAAAAGAGACUCAACAAUGCAGUUGUUACUGGCGUGUAUGAGUGCAACGCCCAGUGUCUCUGUGACCCCCCGCACAUGCUCGAACCGGGUGGCACAGCAAGGCGUCCAGGUGAGGCUCCAGGUCUUCAUGACCCAGGACCGAGGCUGGGGCGUCUGCUGCCUGGAUGACAUAUCCGGGGAGACCUUUGUGUGUUCCUACAGCGCCUCUAAAACGACUAAAGCCAAGGACCCUUCAAAGAGAAAGAAACCUGCAUCUUCCAUGGUUCCCAUGACUACAUCCAGAUGUUUCUUUGAUGGCGAGGAACACGGCUGCAUCCUUGAUGAUAAUAUGGAGAGAAAUGUUGCCCGCUACCUCAAUGAUAGCUGCAACCCAAACUUGUUUAAACAAUAAGUUUUUAUGGACACACACGACCUCAGGUUUCCCUGGUUAACCUUUUUACUAGCAAGCGGGUCAAAGCUGUCACAGAGUUGACCUGGGACUACAGAUCUGUCCAAAAAGAGGAUGCUGAAACUCUUCUUGGUCAGCCGUGCUCCUGUGGGUCUAAAAACUGUUCUGGCCAACUAUAAUGCUUAGAGACUUGAUUCGAAAUUUAUAUAAAUGUGUUGAUUUGCAAUGGUGUGAAGUUUUUUACAUUUAAAUAAAUAUCCCUCAACAUUCACAAUCUGAAUAGUUCACAUUAAAAAUUGA
ensembl:lncRNA